rnacentral:piRNA from 1 species
UAAAUCCGGAGUUGAAAAUUA